AUGAGACCAAAAUCAUGCAGCUGGUGCAAAUGGUUGAAGAGCAGCUUUCAAUUUACUUUGGGUAUGUCGUUUGCAGGUAUUUUCGGGUAAAUUCGCCCGCCUCCUAAGAGGUUUUAAAUAUCAAAGUCUAGUUUUAACGAGACAGUAGAUGGCAGUAUUGCUGCAUCGCAUGGACAUCACUCACUAUUAAACUCAUGAAGAAGAAACCUUCAGCUGUGAUUGGUUGGAAUUAUCCAUCGAGCGCGAGGAAAACUGACGUUGGAACCAGAGCUGCGCUCCUAUUUCAAAGUUUAGUUGACGUUAGUUAAAGUGUUUUAUUCAACAAACUCGAACUUCGAGUUAAGGGUUUAAAGUCUUUUCCCAGACAUAAACCUCCCUCAAGCAGUUAGGCUGCAGGCACAGAGAGACUGAGAGAUCACCUGAAACAAUUUCUUCUCUCCAAUCAUUACUGGCAUGGAUUCUCCUGUAUACUGGCUGAAAGAUGAAUGCUUGCCAGAAAUUACCUUCCUUGAUGAUACAUGUUAUUCAGAUCACAGUAUGAGUGAUAAAGAAAAUGACUCUGAUGUCCACUCUCCUGUAAAACAUAAUGGGACAACAGCUUCAGACUCUGAUGACAAGAUGGUUGACCUUUCUGAGAGUAUGUAUGCUCCCGUUUGCUUUCUGGAUGUCCGAUACUUCCCAGAAAUAACUCUUCUUGAUGUUACGCGUGAUUCCGAGCUAUUACAAUUUGAGGAAUUAUCCUCCAUGGAGGUCAUACAGGAUAUUUCACCAGUGGAUAGUUUGAAAAACAGCAUGCCUCCCUCGGAGUUCAAUAACCAAAUUGUGGCAGAGCCUUGCAGAUCAGACAUGAUUCAAAGAGAAGAAUUGCCAAGUAGUACUCUUACUGGCAAUGUCACCCACACCACAAUCUCUUUUAGUGAACGAUCUGAUAAGAGUGAGGGGGGAGACAUUAGGCAAACCUCCUUGGAAGUAACUCAGGAUAUUUCUACAAGCAGUGUUUUGGAAAACAGCAGGCCUUCAUUGGAGCCCAGUGGACCAAACAUGGUGAAGAUUCAAACAUCAGCUGAGGAUACAUCUGCUAAUGUUACACACAACAAAAACUCCUCAAGUGACAUGGCUGUUCAGUGUGCUGCAUCACAGUUAUCUACAUCUGAUAUGCAGUGCAACACAAGUUUAAAGAAUGUCACCUUUGAGCUUUAUGUUGAACCUGUGGUGAACUCUAAUACUGUGGAAGCCAACAAUGAAGAGCUACUUACCAGCCAUGAUGUAGAGUUGACUAGCAAUGAGCCACAACCAAGGCCAAAAACAUCUGGGUUUGUGAACGGCGCGUUCACCUCCCUCCAGGCCGCGCAGUUGAGUUCCUCCACCGAUUUGAGCACCACUGCUCAAAUACAAUGCCCUCAGAAUAAGACCCUGGAUCUUCCCCAAUUUAAUGUAAACAGUCCCAAUGCGGUUGAGGCUACUUCGGUCUUUAAGAACAUCACCGAAACUUCCCUUGAAAUGAAUCAAAAUUGCUCCGCUGUAAAGACAAGUGGUCCAGGUGAUAUGCAGAACGCCACUUUUGAUAGACAUUCUCUUCAAAAAUCUAGUGUCAAUACUAUUUUAGGGGACGCUGGUGCUACAACCUUUUGCCUCCAAAACAACACUUUCGAUACUAAGCCUCCUCCGAAGCAGAAUGGCACAAUAACUUUGUCAGAAUCAGGCUCAAGUGACGGUAACCAGAACACCUUCGACAAGCCCUCUCCUAAUGCAACAAGUAGCCCUAAAGAAAACAAUUCUGAAGUCCACCAUCCUGAACCGUUUAGACAUAAUGGGACUACAGCUACAGACCCUAAUGCCAAGAUGGUUGACACCCCUGAGAGCACGUUUGAAGCUAAUCCAGCUGUUGCGGUGGCUUCUGGAGCUGGCCGACGUGACACUAAGGAUCAUUCACAAUCAGCUGCUGAAUCCCUUUUGCUUCCUUCGAGUGCUGCAUCCCAGUUGUUGAAACACAAGCCGCCCUCUGCACUUCCAGGGAGGUUUGAGGCGUUGACAUUAGGCCUACCCAUGACGAGACAAAGAACCCUAGCCGAAGCUUUGAGAUAUACUUCUGCUUCUGAUCCUCCCCAGACCACAGGAAUAUCCAGCUCUUACAAGUUACGUGCGACAACAGGAUCCAAGCAACCUCAUUCAGGCUUGCAGAGACCGCAGUUGAGUGGCAUACUGUCAGGCAUCCAGAGAGCUGCAACAGGUCUCAGGCCGCAAUCAGUGAGAAACAACACAUCAGCUUCUUUAAGCUCUAAUAAACUUUGUGGACCUACUACAGAUACUCCCUUACCGUAUGGUAGUGGUGAAACCUCACCAUCUUCCUGUGAUGCUGCAAAUGCAUCCAAAAACCUGAAACGGCCCACAACCAGUAAGAGAGCUUUGCCAGCUAAAAACCAAAGGGAUGAUGCUGCAAUGGGAGCCAGUACUGCUGCUGAAAUCUCAACCUCUUGCGAUGCUGUUAGCAGAGCGAAACUGAAACUGCCUGCGAGCAGCCACAAAGCUCUGCUCGCUAAACCCCAAGGCCAUGGUUGCGCCAACUGCGUCAUGCUUGAACAACAACUCAAAAUGCAAUCAGAAGAAAUAAGGAAACUGAAUGAAGAGCUGCUGAAGAAAAGUCCAGUGGCCCCUGGACAUCCAGGACAAGGGCCCAUGAUGAGUGGAGGUCCGACCUUACAGCAGGUCACCAUCGGUGGUGGUUCAAGCCAACAAGCAGGAAAGAUGCUGAGCAGCAUCAAGACAAACCUCAAAUCUGCACCCGGCUCAAUGCAUCCUUACAACCGAUGAGCUCCUUGUUUCUUAAUUCACUAGUUAAGUCAUUAGUCCACUUCUUACUCUGGAAGUUAUGCAGUAAUGUAAAGUAAUGUUUCAUCUGUGAUAUUUUAAUAAAUAUGUGAAGUAUCUGAAGAGUGAAUUGUGCUUUGUAUUUUAUUAUUAUUAUUAUUAUUAUUAUUAUUAUUAUU
rnacentral:lncRNA from 1 species